rnacentral:rRNA from 1 species
AUUGAACGCUGGCGGCAUGCCUUACACAUGCAAGUCGAACGGUAACGCGGGGCAACCUGGCGACGAGUGGCGAACGGGUGAGUAAUGCAUCGGAACGUGCCCAGUAGUGGGGGAUAACUGCUCGAAAGAGCAGCUAAUACCGCAUACGACCUGAGGGUGAAAGCGGGGGAUCGCAAGACCUCGCGCUAUUGGAGCGGCCGAUGUCAGAUUAGGUAGGUGGUGGGGUAAAGGCCCACCAAGCCAACGAUCUGUAGCUGGUCUGAGAGGACGACCAGCCACACUGGGACUGAGACACGGCCCAGACUCCUACGGGAGGCAGCAGUGGGGAAUUUUGGACAAUGGACACAAGUCUGAUCCAGCCAUGCCGCGUGCGGGAAGAAGGCCUUCGGGUUGUAAGCCGCUUUUGUCAGGGAAGAAACGCUCUGGGUUAAUACCUCGGGGUAAUGACGGUACCUGAAGAAUAAGCACCGGCUAACUACGUGCCAGCCGCCGCGGUAACAC